CGGGGUAUAGCUCAGUGGUAGAGCCUUUCUGACUGCAGAUCGAGAGGUCCCCUGGUUCAACCCGGGUGCCCCUU